rnacentral:rRNA from 1 species
GACGAACGCUGGCGGCGUGGAUUAGGCAUGCAAGUCGAACGGUAGGAUACCUUCGGGUAUCUGAGAGUGGCGAACGGGUGAGUAACACGUAGGUGAUCUACCCUCAAGAUUGGGACAACCCAGGGAAACUUGGGCUAAUACCGGAUGAAAGCAGCAGUGAUGUUGUUUGAAAGGUGGCGUAAGCUGCCGUUUGGGGAUGAGCCUGCGCUCUAUUAGUUAGUUGGCGGGGUAAAGGCCCACCAAGGCGAUGAUAGAUAGGCGGCCUUAACGGGUGGUCGCCCACACUGGGAUUGAGAUACGGCCCAGACUCCUACGGGAGGCAGCAGUCGAGAAUAGUCUACAAUGGCCGAAAGGCUGAUAGUGCGACGCCGCGUGAACGAAGAAGCCCUUCGGGUGGUAAAGUUCUUUUAUAUGUGAGCAGUGCUUUCUAUGUGAACAGCAUGGGGAGAGAGAUAUUAGCAUAUGAAUAAGCAACGGCUAACUACCGUGCCAGCACG